rnacentral:rRNA from 1 species
CAGUCGCCGCGGUAAAACGGAGGGUGCAAGCGUUAAUCGGAAUUACUGGGCGUAAAGCGCACGCAGGCGGUCUGUCAAGUCAGAUGUGAAAUCCCCGGGCUUAACCUGGGAACUGCAUUUGAAACUGGCAGGCUAGAGUCUUGUAGAGGGGGGUAGAAUUCCAGGUGUAGCGGUGAAAUGCGUAGAGAUCUGGAGGAAUACCGGUGGCGAAGGCGGCCCCCUGGACAAAGACUGACGCUCAGGUGCGAAAGCGUGGGGAGCAAACAGGAUUAGAUACCCUCGUAGUCCCUGUCUCUUAUAC